rnacentral:rRNA from 1 species
GACGUAGGGGGCAAGCGUUGUCCGGAAUCAUUGGGCGUAAAGCGCGUGUAGGCGGCCAGAUAAGUCCGCUGUGAAAUCUCGAGGCUCAACUUCGAGCUGUCGGUGGAAACUGUCUGGCUAGAGUCCGGAAGAGGAGAAUGGAAUUCCUGGUGUAGCGGUGAAAUGCGCAGAUAUCAGGAAGAACACCCGUGGCGAAGGCGGUUCUCUGGGACGGUACUGACGCUGAGACGCGAAAGCGUGGGGAGCGAACAGG